rnacentral:rRNA from 1 species
UACAGAGGGUGCAAGCGUUAAUCGGAAUUACUGGGCGUAAAGCGUGCGUAGACGGUCAUGUAAGUCGGGUGUGAAAGCCCCGGGCUCAACCUGGGAAUUGCAUUCGAGACUGCAUGGCUAGGAUGCGGAAGAGGGAAGCGGAAUUUCCGGUGUAGCGGUGAAAUGCGUAGAUAUCGGAAGGAACACCAGUGGCGAAAAGCGGCUUCCUGGUCCAGCAUCGACGUCAGGCACGAAAGCGUGGGGAGCAAACAGGG